rnacentral:rRNA from 1 species
UACGAAGGGGGCUAGCGUUGCUCGGAAUCACUGGGCGUAAAGGGUGCGUAGGCGGGUCUUUAAGUCAGGGGUGAAAUCCUGGAGCUCAACUCCAGAACUGCCUUUGAUACUGAAGAUCUUGAGUUCGGGAGAGGUGAGUGGAACUGCGAGUGUAGAGGUGAAAUUCGUAGAUAUUGGGAAGAACACCGGUGGCGAAGGCGGCUCUCUGGACCGAUACUGACGCUGAAGCGCGAAAGCGUGGGGAGCAAACAGG